rnacentral:tRNA from 1 species
AAUAAAAUGCCUGAAUAAAAGAUUAUCUUGAUAGGAUAAAUUAUGUAAUUUUUCUUAUUACUUUUAUUA